AUACGGAGGGUGCAAGCGUUGUCCGGAUUUAUUGGGUUUAAAGGGUGCGUAGGCGGCCCGUUAAGUCAGUGGUGAAAGGUAUCAGCUUAACUGAUGAAGUGCCAUUGAAACUAGCGGGCUUGAGUACAGACGAGGUAGGCGGAAUUUAUGGUGUAGCGGUGAAAUGCAUAGAUACCAUAAAGAACACCGAUAGCGAAGGCAGCUUACUAGACUGAGACUGACGCUGAGGCACGAAAGCGUGGGGAGCAAACAGGAUUAGAAACCCGGGUAGUCC
rnacentral:rRNA from 1 species